CUUCCCUUAUUAACAAUUCCCACACCAAAAAGUGUCUGACUCAUAUAAAACAAGUCAGACUGUUAGUUUACUGUUUGCCUGAUUGCUCUGUUUCAUCACAGCUUUUCAGUGCAGAUCAGAUGAGCUUGUCCUGAACAAAUCAGAUGAUUAAAUCUCUCAGGUUAAAGCAGUGACACUCUCCGGAUUAUUGUUGUACAGAGCUGUCGGUUUGUGUCUGCUUCACCAGCUCAACAAAAGGAGAGGAGAAAAGUGAGGAAGAGGAUGAGAGGGCAGUGGCAUAAUGAAAACAUCAUUGUAUGGGAGGAGAUGCUGAUCUAAUCAGUGAGGAAAUGAGGCCUGAGAAUGCCCAGUCAUUUUGGACUCAUUUCUACGUCUCCUUUUAAAGCCGCUCAGCCAUCGAUUAGCCCCAGAGGAGCUCCGGACAGGAAACGACAUGAUUAGAUGGCUCCCCAAUUUGAACACUUUCCUUCUGCUGCACGUUCAAAAACUCACAGGUAAGAUUAGAGCAGCUUGUUUUAUGGUGAUUUAACUGCAGGAAUAAAAAAGUGUCACAUAAUUAAAGUGGCAAAUUAUUUAUGCUUUAUGUACUUUCUAAAAUCUUCUACGUGUUUGCUCUGGUUACAAGCUACUAAAUCUUUACACUGCAAUUUAUCAGAGAGUGAGAGGCAGCAUGUAGAGCAGCUUCUGCAAAGAGUUAUGCACACGUGUGUGUACAAAUGUCAGUGGAUAAGAAAACCUGUUUCUUCUUUCCUCACUUUUCACUUAAGCAUCAAAAACAAAGUCCUACGCUGAGUUGUGUCUGCACACCAGGCUCUGCAUGCACCCAGUAGAAACAUGCUCCUGCCAUGAGCUGCCCGCUGGUCGGACAGAGAUGUGGAGCUCGGACAGAAGCAGACCAGAGAAAAAUCUGGGAGACGUUCUCUCUGACUGACAGUUCACGGGGAAGCACGGCUGAAAUCAACCUUCAUUCCUCUUGUUGAGAAAAAAACAACAAGCUAAGAAUUUGUUGUUCAGCAAAAUUCCAUCCCUUGUUCUACAAUUAGUGGCAUCCCUGCUGUUGAUACUUUCUAUAACUUCCUUUUGCCAAUUAAAUAGCACCUAGUCUUUUCCAAUAGCAUUUACAAGGUGAAGUGUGCAGUGAGGGAUCUUUGACUGCUCCUGCAGAUAUUGAUGGCUGCUUUGCUGCAUCCCUUCUCCAACACACCUGGAUCAAAUUCAGUUUGAGUUCUGCAGAGAAAAGGCUGCUACACCAGGAUGGAGUUGGUGAAGAAUGGGAGCAAGAAGAUCAGGAGAGGAGGAGAGAGCGAGGAAAUUUAAGGGAAGGUUUGAAGAGAAAUGGCAGGAUGCGAUCGCGCUAAAACGAGAGUGGAGGGAGAGGAUCACAGCUGUGCCGACAAGAUUCAGAGCGAGGUUUUACCUGAUGGGGGACAACGUCUCCCAACCAGCCGAACCAGCUGUCAGACGGGGGUCAGUGCUCACAUCUGACACCUGCACAGUUUCCACUGCUGUUCCUGCAAACUUAUAAUGCAUCUUUAAAUGUCAGUCUGCCCAUACAAUAAACAAAACACCUGGCAUGCACCCAGAGUCGUGUUCAACAAAAUGUUAGAGGGCAAACGUGGUCUUUUUUAUUUUUCUGAAGGGAUUCACUUUGGUAGAAAAUGAGAAAACGCUGCUGUUAUUCUCCUUCUACAAAAUAAGAUGGAAAAUUACUGAGAGUUUAAUGGGAGGUCUUACCUCCAUGAGAUAAAGGACAUUUUACCAGGAGUCCAUUUCUUCUAUAAUCUCAAAUUGGCUGAUUCAUUUUAAUUACAUAAAAUCUUUUGAGUCUCUUGAUCACUUUAUUGGUGAUUUGACAGAUAAAUUGUGUUGAAUUUGUCUUUUGCUGUGGUAUUGUUGUCCUGGUUUUAAUUUUUUAACAAUCCACCAACCAGUUAUUCUGCACUGUUGUAAUGAAACUCAUCAAAUAUUAACAUAGAUUGUCUCUAAGUUUAUACCUUCAUCUGUCUUUUCCAUAUUUUAACAUAAUAAUCCAGAGAAAAAUAAAAAAGGUGAAGCUACAUUGACCUUUAAAGAAGAAUUGCAUUGCAAACCCCUGAUAAGUGAAGCUGACCUCAAUCACAGGUUCAGAUAGACAGUCAGUUUGAAUUCAUCUAUUAGGAUUUUCAUGGUUUGAAAUGUUUUCAACAAGUAAUUUAAUCUGAUCUUGACAAGUUCUCCAGGAACUUACAAUAAAAACAAUGUGCUGAGAUGGAGAGGCAAAAUGCUGUUUUGUUCUGGAAGCAUUGUGACAUGCUCACACCUGAACACACAGGCACAAAUCACAAUGUGCUACACUUGUCAAUUACCUCACAUCCAUGUAAUUCUUUCUAAAUGUGGUGCUGACAGCUGUUUUAACACACUGAAAACUGUAGAAUUAGCCGCAGAAGCUCGGCUGCAGCUCAGGGUGUCUGUGAAAGACAGUUAUUAUGGAGCGGAAGCAGAGAUACGGCUCUGGAUGUACUGUCAUCGAUAAUGCUGGGGGAUCUCACCUCUUGCGGCGCCGUUGCUACAUCGGGUUUGGAAUUCACAGUGGAAUGACAGACAUGUCACAAAGAUAAACUGCUGUCAGCCCGGCUUUGUGGGCUACUUGAGAUGACUGCAACAAUGGAGGGAUUGAAUCACCUUGUCAUUCUCUGAGCAUUUCCUCUUUUAUUCCUGCUUUCACCAACUUGGCUUUGCCUGUAGCGUUGUCAGGGUCGUCCAAAAGCCCACAGGCCAGUGGCAGCCUUUGCUUUUUGUGACCCUGACUGAAGAUUGACCCGAAGCUGCCGGAGGCGGGGUCACUAUAGACGGAAGAAUGACCUUAAAUGAAGACUAAAUUUAGCCUUUCUAUAUUCCAAACUCCGUGUUUUAGAUUACUCGGAUGUUUAUUGUCACGUUGUGGUAUGAAUUAUCUACAUUUUAGAUCUUUUUUGUCAGUCAGAAAAGAUUCAGUUUUAGGUUGAAUAUCACUGCAAUAAUUUUUCCAUUUCUCAUGUAUAUUAUAGAUAAAAUUUGCAAGGUGAGAUUAAUGUUUUAAGAAAAAAUGUAAACUGCAUUAGAAUAAAUAAAGAAAAUGACAGAG